ACUUUGUUGUUAAGCAGUGUGCUAAAAGUACAAAAAGCAGGAUCAUGUCUUGGAUUUUUUAAUAAUGCUAGGAGAGUUCACAGAAGAAAAGUGGACCCCAAAGACUGGGGUGAACCGCUUUCUUAAUGUCCAGUGUCUUAAUAUUUGGUGAAAUACAU